AAGCCAUGCGAGUCAACGUAGCAAUACGUGGCAUACGGCUCAGUAACACGUAGUCAACAUGCCCAGAGGACGUGGAUAACCUCGGGAAACUGAGGAUAAACCGCGAUAGGUCAUAAUAUCUGGAAUGAUUUAUGGUUUAAAUCUAUAUGGCCUCUGGAUUGGACUGCGGCCGAUCAGGCUGUUGGUGAGGUAAUGGCCCACCAAACCUAAAACCGGUACGGGCUCUGAGAGGAGAAGCCCGGAGAUGGGCACUGAGACAAGGGCCCAGGCCCUAUGGGGCGCAGCAGGCGCGAAAACUCUGCAAUAAGCGAAAGCUUGACAGGGUUAUUCUGAGUGAUUUCCGCUAAGGAAAUCUUUUGGCACCUCUAAAAAUGGUGCAGAAUAAGGGGUGGGCAAGCCUGGUGUCAGCCGCCGCGGUAAUACCAGCACCCCGAGUGGUCGGGACGAUUAUUGGGCCUAAAGCAUCCGUAGCCGGUUCUACAAGUCUUCCGUUAAAUCCACCUGCUUAACAGAUGGGCUGCGGAGGAUACUAUGGAGCUAGGAGG
rnacentral:rRNA from 1 species